rnacentral:tRNA from 1 species
CCGCCCGUAGCUCAGUCUGGUAGAGCACCUGCCUUUUAAGCAGUGUGUCGUUGGUUCGAAUCCAACCGGGCGGACUA